AGAACUUCGGCGAAGGUUUUAUUUGGGCGGUUGGGUCCGGCGAGGUGGUGGAGUGGAUUCCGGAGGGGUUUGAGAAGAGAGUUCAAAGAUUGGCAUCCAUUUAAAUCCCCCCAUGGAGUCUCGGUUCUCCAAGCUGAGAACUUGCUGCUGAGGCUCUUACAAUAAUGUUACUGUGCUGGAGACGCCGGAUGUUGAGAGUGAAGUGAAGAGUGAGGGUGAUGGGCUGCCGGUGUUCCAGGAGUAUUCUUUUGAGCAGCUCCGGCUUGCUACAUUUGGGUUUGCGGUAGAGAACAUUGUGUCCGAGCAUAGGGAGAAGGCGCCUAAUGUAGUGUACAAGGAGAAGUUAGAUGUGCAACGCAGGAUUGCUGUUAAGCGGUUCAAUCAUGCUGCAUGGCCUGAUCCUCGCCAGUUCUUGGAAGAAACGAGAUCCGUUGGUCAACUUAGAAGCC